rnacentral:rRNA from 1 species
UACGUAGGGUGCAAGCGUUGUCCGGAAUUAUUGGGCGUAAAGAGCUUGUAGGCGGUUUGUCGCGUCUGCUGUGAAAUUUCGGGGCUCAACCCCGAACUUGCAGUGGGUACGGGCAGACUAGAGUGUGGUAGGGGAGACUGGAAUUCCUGGUGUAGCGGUGAAAUGCGCAGAUAUCAGGAGGAACACCGGUGGCGAAGGCGGUUCUCUGGGCCUUACCUGACACUGAGGAGCGAAAGCGUGGGGAGCGAACAGG